rnacentral:rRNA from 1 species
CACGUAGGAGGCGAGCGUUGUCCGGAAUCAUUGGGCGUAAAGAGCGUGCAGGCGGCCCGGCAAGUCGGGUGUGAAAUCUCGGGGCUCAACCCCGGAACUGCAUCCGAUACUGCCGGGCUAGAGGUAGGUAGGGGAGAUCGGAAUUCCUGGUGUAGCGGUGAAAUGCGCAGAUAUCAGGAGGAACACCGGUGGCGAAGGCGGAUCCCUGGGCCUUACCUGACGCUCAGGCGCGAAAGCUAGGGGAGCGAACAGG